rnacentral:rRNA from 1 species
UAGGGAAUCUUCGGCAAUGGACGAAAGUCUGACCGAGCAACGCCGCGUGAGUGAAGAAGGUUUUCGGAUCGUAAAACUCUGUUGUUAGAGAAGAACAAGGACGUUAGUAACUGAACGUCCCCUGACGGUAUCUAACCAGAAAGCCACGGCUAACUACGUGCCAGCAGCCGCGGUAAUACGUAGGUGGCAAGCGCUGUCCGGAUUUAUUGGGCGUAAAGCGAGCGCAGGCGGUUUCUUAAGUCUGAUGUGAAAGCCCCCGGCUCAACCGGGGAGAGUCAUUGGAAACUGCGAGACUUGAGUGCAGAAGAGGAGAGUGGAAUUCCAUGUGUAGCGGUGAAAUGCGUAGAUAUAUGGAGGAACACCAGUGGCGAAGGCGGCUCUCUGGUCUGUAACUGACGCUGAGGCCCGAAAGCGUGGGGAGCAAACAGG